UACGUAGGGUCCGAGCGUUGUCCGGAAUUACUGGGCGUAAAGAGCUCGUAGGCGGCUUGUCGCGUCGACCGUGAAAACUUGGGGCUCAACCCCAAGCCUGCGGUCGAUACGGGCAGGCUCGAGUUCGGUAGGGGAGACUGGAAUUCCUGGUGUAGCGGUGAAAUGCGCAGAUAUCAGGAGGAACACCGAUGGCGAAGGCAGGUCUCUGGGCAGUUACUGACGCUGAGGAGCGAAAGCAUGGGGGAGCGAACAGG
rnacentral:rRNA from 1 species